AUUGAACGCUGGCGGCAUGCCUUACACAUGCAAGUCGAACGGUAACAGGUCUUCGGAUGCUGACGAGUGGCGAACGGGUGAGUAAUACAUCGGAACGUGCCCGAUCGUGGGGGAUAACUACUCGAAAGAGUAGCUAAUACCGCAUACGAUCUACGGAUGAAAGCGGGGGAUCUUCGGACCUCGUGCGGACGGAGCGGCCGAUGGCAGAUUCGGAAGUUGGUGGGAUAAAAGCUACCAAGCCGACGAGCUGUAGCUGGUCUGAGAGGACGACCAGCCACACUGGGACUGAGACACGGCCCAGACUCCUACGGGAGGCAGCAGUGGGGAAUUUUGGACAAUGGGCGAAAGCCUGAUCCAGCAAUGCCGCGUGCAGGAUGAAGGCCUUCGGGUUGUAAACUGCUUUUGUACGGAACGAAAAGACUCCUUCUAAUACAGGGGGUCCAUGACGGUACCGUAAGAAUAAGCACCGGCUAACUACGUGCCAGCAGCCGCCGUAA
rnacentral:rRNA from 1 species